rnacentral:antisense_RNA from 1 species
CCAGCCAGAGAAGAGAAAUCUGAGUUUAACCCCAUCCUGUCAGAAGACGGGGAGGAAACAGCUCCAGCGGACAGGGCUCCCAGGCCCCUCCAGGACGAGGUUGGAGGACCAAGCGCAGCAGGAACAGAGGUGCAGAGAAUGGCGUCCAGGCCUCCUUAAGGACUCUGGAUCCAUGAGACGGGAAGCCCCACAGGGAAGCAGUGGCCCCCCGCCCCCCAUCUCAUCACAUACAGCACUCUGUACCUUCUGCUAAUUUUCUGUAAACCUAAAACUGCUCUAAACAAUGAAGUCCACCACGCAGAAACUGCACACGGAUGUUUAGAGCAGCUUUACUGGUAACUGCCAACACUCAGAAGCAACCAAGAUGUUCUCCAACAGGUGAAUAAAUAAAUAAACUGUGAUACACCUAAAUAA